rnacentral:lncRNA from 1 species
UUUUUUGAACUGCGGCAGAGUUACUGAGUUACUGAGUUACUUUUUAUAAACCCAAGAACAUAACCUAGGCUGAUAGGGGCACAGUUGGAAUUAAAAGUACCCAGGGAGGUGCAGGACGAGAUCUAGGAGGUGCAGGGAGAAUUACUCUUAAUAAUCCAACAUCUUAGAUGGUUUUGCAUUAAUGAUUGUGCAGUACAACCUAAUAUCUGGUUACAAAUUCUAUCACCUCACC